rnacentral:tRNA from 1 species
GUAUCCAAGCCGGGUGAUUGGUCCGCCUGAAAAGCGGAAGGUCGGCGGUUCGAGCCUGUCCCUGGCCA